AGAGUUUGAUCCUGGCUCAGAAUCAACGCUGGCGGCGUGCCUAACACAUGCAAGUCGAACGAGAAAGUGGAGCAAUCCAUUAGUAAAGUGGCGCACGGGUGAGUAACACGUGACUAACCUACCCUUGAGUGGGGAAUAACUUCGGGAAACCGAGGCUAAUACCGCAUAAUACCUACGGGUCAAAGGAGCAAUUCGCUUAAGGAGGGGGUCGCGGCAGAUUAGUUAGUUGGCGGGGUAAUGGCCCACCAAGACGAUGAUCUGUAUCCGGCCUGAGAGGGCGCACGGACACACUGGAACUGAAACACGGUCCAGACUCCUACGGGAGGCAGCAGUGGGGAAUUUUGCGCAAUGGGGGAAACCCUGACGCAGCAACGCCGCGUGGAGGAUGAAGUCUCUUGGGACGUAAACUCCUUUCGAUUGGGAAGAUAAUGACGGUACCAAUAGAAGAAGCCCCGGCUAACUUCGUGCCAGCAGCCGCGGUAAUACGAGGGGGGCAAGCGUUGUUCGGAAUUAUUGGGCGUAAAGGGUGCGUAGGCGGUUGGGUAAGUCUUGUGUGAAAUCUUCGGGCUCAACUCGAAGUCUGCACGAGAAACUGCCUGGCUUGAGUGUGGGAGAGGUGAGUGGAAUUUCCGGUGUAGCGGUGAAAUGCGUAGAUAUCGGAAGGAACACCUGUGGCGAAAGCGGCUCACUGGACCAUAACUGACGCUGAUGCACGAAAGCUAGGGGAGCAAACAGGAUUAGAUACCCUGGUAGUCCUAGCCCUAAACGAUGAUCGCUUGGUGUGACGGGUACCCAAUCCCGCCGUGCCGAAGCUAACGCGUUAAGCGAUCGCCUGGGGGNAGUACGGUCGCAAGGCUGAAACUCAAAGGAAUGACGGAA
rnacentral:rRNA from 1 species